CCCCUCCAUCCCCUCCGCUGCCCCUGGCAGCAGAUGCAGCUACGCACGGGCCCAGGAAAAGACCACCGCAUGGCACGUGAGUAUCAGAGGAUGCGAAGAUGGGCGGUGCUGGAAGUGCUUGCUAUUUUCCACUGUCAAAGUCAAAAGUCCACAACAGAAAGCUUCCACCCCCCACCCGGCCUCCAGAGGGUGUUUGUCCACGAAGGCGCGGCCUGGGGCACCCGGAGCCUUGUCAAAGGGAAAGGACGCCGGCAGGGGGUCUUCUUUCUUAUAGCUGCAUCCUCCGGCCUGAGAAUAGCUUCACGUUCAGUAGUUUCCUCUCGGGCCUGUCUUAUCCGUAUUUGCUAGUGUUGGGUUACUCAGUCACAGCUCCCAGGAACUCCUAGGGUUAAUUAAAUAAGCUCUCUCACCCUAAUUAACGUUCCUCGUGUUCUUGUUGGGUUGGUUGUUUUUAACAAUUCUGGGGGAGGGGAGCUUCUCCUUCGAGUCCUUGGGUCCACACAGUUAACUGUGAUGGGUCGAUGGCUGGAAGGGAGGUUGAGCUCACCCAGGGGGCCUUUCAGGUGGUAGCCCAGUGCCUAACUGGUUACUUAUGACACUUGGGGACUUGAAAUGACAUAUACUGCCACCCACUCUCCCCCCUUUUAAAACAUCAUUGGUAGCAUAGCAUAUGCGCGAAGACCUCGCUCUUUUCCUUACUAAUCUGUAGGACCUUAAAAGCACACUACUUUGUCUGGCUGCGCCGGAGUCCGUGGAGCAGAGACUCCAGGCUGGAUUUAGCCACUCCCAGCGGCUGCUCUUCAGGCUGUUUCCAAGCGAUGCUGCAACGACUCACCUUUACUAUAUGUCAUUCCAUUCUGGGUCCAGCAUUCUCUUUAGGGCCCAUUUCCAGAGACGGGAUCCCUGAGGGAGGUCCAAGUCCAACCGGUCGCCACGGCCUGCACUCUGACGGCUGGUGAGCCCCGAGUGUGUCAGAGUAGAAAACGAUGCUGUAUGAUGCUUUCUCAUUCACUGACCUUUCAGACGUAGCUCACCAGGCUUUUCUUCCCUGGCACCUCUGCGGGGUGCUCGAACCAGCCUUUUGGUUAGCAGCUGAGCAGAGAACAGCACCACCCAGACACCCCUGGGGCUUAAAGGUAAGCGGAAGGGUGAUGUUGGUAGGGCUUGUCAACAGGCCCUCCAGUUGGGGCUGCCUGCAUUCACCCGCUCAUGGUGAUGCUGUAACAGCCUGGCUCCCCCACAGGCAGCUGGGUGUCCUGACACAGGAAGGGUUUACAAACCUGAUAGACAACAGAAAGCUGUCUUGUUCAGUGUUCAUCACACGUCAGCCCUGGUGACUCGCAGCGACCCCGGGUGACAAAGUGGGCCAGGGGUUUUGUGGAAGCAGAUCACCAGACUGGUCUCGCUCGGCACCACUGGGCGGUUUGACCCUUUCUCAUCCUGUUUAGCUGCCCAGCGCUUUCCCAUGGACACGGCCGGGCUCCUGGCGUGUUUUUCUUCAGAUGAGUGACGUUGAGAGGGUUCUCUGUCUGUUUGUAUUCCAGGUCUAAUUCCUUGACCUGUUGCGAAAGGAUAGCUGGAUCUCAGGGCUACUGAACAUGGUAGUGGUGUGGAUUGCAGUGUUUGUCAGAGGAGGCUUGCUCCUCCUGGGGCCAUGGUGAAUAGGAAUGGACUCGGCAGCGCAUUUGAGAGUUUUCUGUGACCAAGUGGACUCUUCAGAGGGGCCCCAACCAGACCGGGGGUCUGCUGUGGCAGCUGCCAAGGGAC